AUUGAACGCUGGCGGCAGGCUUAACACAUGCAAGUCGAGCGGAGUGAUGGUGCUUGCACUAUCACUUAGCGGCGGACGGGUGAGUAAUGCUUAGGAAUCCGCCUAUUAGUGGGGGACAACAUCUCGAAAGGGAUGCUAAUACCGCAUACGUCCUACGGGAGAAAGCAGGGGAUCACUUGUGACCUUGCGCUAAUAGAUGAGCCUAAGUCGGAUUAGCUAGUUGGUGGGGUAAAGGCCUACCAAGGCGACGAUCUGUAGCGGGUCUGAGAGGAUGAUCCGCCACACUGGGACUGAGACACGGCCCAGACUCCUACGGGAGGCAGCAGUGGGGAAUAUUGGACAAUGGGGGGAACCCUGAUCCAGCCAUGCCGCGUGUGUGAAGAAGGCCUUAUGGUUGUAAAGCACUUUAAGCGAGGAGGAGGCUCUUUUGGUUAAUACCCAAGAUGAAUGGACGUUACUCGCAGAAUAAGCACCGGCUAACUCUGUGCCAGCAGCCGCCGUAA
rnacentral:rRNA from 1 species